rnacentral:misc_RNA from 1 species
AGUCGUAACAAGGUUUCCGUAGGUGAACCUGCGGAAGGAUCAUUACCGAGUGAGGGCCCUCUGGGUCCAACCUCCCACCCGUGUCUAUCGUACCUUGUUGCUUCGGCGGGCCCGCCGUUUCGACGGCCGCCGGGGAGGCCUUGCGCCCCCGGGCCCGCGCCCGCCGAAGACCCCAACAUGAACGCUGUUCUGAAAGUAUGCAGUCUGAGUUGAUUAUCGUAAUCAGUUAAAACUUUCAACAACGGAUCUCUUGGUUCCGGCAUCGAUGAAGAACGCAGCGAAAUGCGAUAAGUAAUGUGAAUUGCAGAAUUCAGUGAAUCAUCGAGUCUUUGAACGCACAUUGCGCCCCCUGGUAUUCCGGGGGGCAUGCCUGUCCGAGCGUCAUUGCUGCCCUCAAGCACGGCUUGUGUGUUGGGCCCCCGUCCCCCUCUCCCGGGGGACGGGCCCGAAAGGCAGCGGCGGCACCGCGUCCGGUCCUCGAGCGUAUGGGGCUUUGUCACCUGCUCUGUAGGCCCGGCCGGCGCCAGCCGACACCCAACUUUAUUUUUCUAAGGUUGACCUCGGAUCAGGUAGGGAUACCCGCUGAACUUAAGCAUAUCAAUAAGCGGAGGA